rnacentral:misc_RNA from 1 species
GAAAUGCGAUAACUAAUGUGAAUUGCAGAAUUCAGUGAAUCAUCGAGUCUUUGAACGCACAUUGCGCCCCCUGGUAUUCCGGGGGGCAUGCCUGUCCGAGCGUCAUUGCUGCCCUCAAGCCCGGCUUGUAUGUUGGGCCCUCGUCCCCCGGCUCCCGGGGGACGGGCCCGAAAGGCAGCGGCGGCACCGCGUCCGGUCCUCGAGCGUAUGGGGCUUCGUCUUCCGCUCCGUAGGCCCGGCCGGCGCCCGCCGACGCAUUUAUUUGCAACUUGUUUUUUUCCAGGUUGACCUCGGAUCAGGUAGGGAUACCCGCUGAACUUAAGC